rnacentral:tRNA from 1 species
GCCCUUGUGGCGGAAUCGGUAGACGCGGUAGACUCAAAAUCUAUUAUCUUCGGAUGUGGGAGUUCGAGUCUCCCCGAGGGCACCA